ACCACAAUAAAUGUUCCCUAUAAUACAAAAUCUUAUGCCUUUAAGAUGUACCUUCUUUGUGUACCCUCCCAGAGAUAAUCUAUACAUAUGUAAGUAGACCUAUGUGUGUAUAUAUAUUUUGUUUUAAACACAGAUGACAGCAUACGAUACAUACUGUUUUGCACCUUAACAUUUUCACUUGAUGUAUCUCAAAGGCUAUUCCAUAUCAGUACAUAAGGAGCUCUCCAUCAUUCUUGUUUUUCAACAGUGCAUAGUGUUUAGUGUACAGUUAUAUAUCCAGUCCUCUAUUGUUAAACAUUUAGUUUGUUUCCAGUCUUAUUACAAUACUGCAACAAAUACCUUGUAUAUAAGGCAUUUUAUAAGAAAUAAAAUUUUGGAGUCAAUAUAUAUAUUUGUAACGUUACCACAUUUUUUUAUAGUGAUUAUAUCAUUUUAUAUUACCAGAAAUGUGUGAUCAUGACUGUUUUCCCUCACCCUUGUGUCCUAUUACUGGAAACUGGUUUAAGUGAUCUUGUAUAAGGAGAAAGGAGAGAGAUUCUUCUCAUUGUUGAGUAAAGUUUCUCUUUCUUUUCUCUUCAGCCUAUGAAGUGCCAUUUAAUUUGCUGUAUAGAUUGUAUGUUGAAUGUAUCACUUUUGAUAACCAUAGGUAACCAUGGGUAAUUACUUAUUUGAGAACUUUCUUAAUUUCUACAUGUCUUCUAACCAAAUAAGUAUCUUCUGAUGGUGCCAUAUCAUUUGUAAUACAAAUGCCAAGUAAGGAACUUCGGGAACUAUAGGAAAGAAGGGAUAAGAGAAGUGAGCACCUGGAAGACAUAGGUCUCUGCUGUUUUAGAACAGCCUUCUAAAUAAAUCAAAGCUAAAUCACCUGGUUCUAGGAAAAGUUUCUACAUUAUAAUUUACACUCCCUUCCAAACAAACCCUAGCUGAUUAUCACAAUCUAUUCAGUAGUAUUUAAGAUUUUUGUGGCUUUCGGCUCUCGGCUUGGAGGAGGCCAAGGUGCAACUUUCUUCGGUCGUCCCGAAUCCGGGUUCAUCCGACACCAGCCACCUCCACCAUGCCACCGAAGUUCGACCCCAACGAGAUCAAAGUCAUAUACCUGAGGUGCACUGGGGGUGAAGUCGGUGCCACUUCUGUGCUUGCCUCCAAGAUCGGCCCCCUGGGUCUGUCUCCAAAAAAGGUUGGUGAUGACUUUGCCAAGGCAACGGGUGACUGGAAGGGCUUGAGGAUUACAGUGAAACUGACCAUUCAGAACAGACAGGCCCAGAUUGAGGUUGUGCCUUCUGCCUCUGCCCUGAUCAUCAAAGCCCUUAAGGAGCCACCAAGAGACAUAAAGAAACAGAAAAACAUUAAACACAGCAGGAAUAUCACUUUCGAUGAGAUUGUCAACAUUGCUUGAUAGAUGCAGCACCGAUCUUUAGCCAGAGAACUCUCUGGAAUCAUUAAAGAGAUCCUGGGGACUGCCCAGUCUGUGGGCUGUAAUGUUGAUGGCCGCCACCCUCAUGACAUCAUAGAUGACAUCAACAGUGGUGCUGUGAAAUGCCCAGCUAGUUAAGAAGCAUAAAGGAAAAUAUUUCAAUAAAGGUCAUUUAACAACUGGUGGAAAAAAAAA